rnacentral:pre_miRNA from 1 species
CCAGGUUCUGUGAUACACUCCGACUCGGGCUCUGGAGCAGUCAGUGCAUGACAGAACUUGGGC